rnacentral:rRNA from 1 species
UACGGGGGGAGCAAGCGUUGUUCGGAUUUACUGGGCGUAAAGGGCGCGUAGGCGGCCACCGCAAGUCAGUUGUGAAAUCUCCGAGCUUAACUCGGAAAGGUCAACUGAUACUGCGGGGCUAGAGUGCGGAAGGGGCAACUGGAAUUCUUGGUGUAGCGGUGAAAUGCGUAGAUAUCAAGAGGAACACCUGCGGCGAAGGCGGGUUGCUGGGCCGACACUGACGCUGAGGAGCGAAAGCCAGGGGAGCAAACGGG